rnacentral:rRNA from 1 species
GAUGAACGCUAGCGGGAGGCUUAAUACAUGCAAGUCGAGCGGUAAGUUUGGGAUAGCAAUAUUCUGAACCUAGAGCGGCGCACGGGUGAGUAACGCGUACAUAACCUACCCUUAACUGGGGGAAAGUCUCGGGAAACUGAGAAUAAUACCGCAUAGUAUUACUAGUCUGCAUGGAUUGGUAAUUAAAGAUUUAUUGGUUAAGGAUGGGUGUGCGUCUGAUUAGCUAGUUGGUAGGGUAACGGCUUACCAAGGCGAUGAUCAGUAGGGGGCGUGAGAGCGUGACCCCCCACACGGGUACUGAGACACGGACCCGACUCCUACGGGAGGCAGCAGUAAGGAAUAUUGGUCAAUGGACGAAAGUACUGAACCAGCCAU